rnacentral:rRNA from 1 species
CCUACGGGUGGCAGCAGUAGGGAAUCUUCCACAAUGGGCGAAAGCCUGAUGGAGCAACGCCGCGUGGGUGAAGAAGGUCUUCGGAUCGUAAAACCCUGUUGUUAGAGAAGAAAGUGCGUGAGUGUAACUGUUCACGUUUCGACGGUAUCUAACCAGAAAGCCACGGCUAACUACGUGCCAGCAGCCGCGGUAAUACGUAGUUGGCAAGCGUUAUCCGGAUUUAUUGGGCGUAAAGGGAACGCAUGCGGUCUUUUAAGUCUGAUGUGAAAGCCUUCGGCUUAACCGGAGUAGUGCAUUGGAAACUGGGAGACGUGAGUGCAGAAGAGGAGAGGGGAACUCCAUGUGUAGCGGUGAAAUGCGUAGAUAUAUGGAAGAACACCAGUGGCGAAAGCGGCUCUCUGGUCUGUAACUGACGCUGAGGUUCGAAAGCGUGGGUAGCAAACAGGAUUAGAUACCCGGGUAGUC